rnacentral:rRNA from 1 species
GACGAACGCUGGCGGCGUGCUUAACACAUGCAAGUCGAACGGAAAGGCCCUGCUUUUGUGGGGUUCUCGAGUGGCGAACGGGUGAGUAGCACGUGUGUAACCUGCCCUUGACUUUGGGAUAACUUCAGGAAACUGGGGCUAAUACCGGAUAGGAGCUCCUGCUGCAUGGUGGGGGUUGGAACGUUUCGGCGGUUGGGGAUGGACUCGCGGCUUAUCGGCUUGUUGGUGGGGUAGUGGCUUACCAAGGCUUUGACGGGUAGCCGGCCUGAGAGGGUGACCGGCCACAUUGGGACUGAGGGACGGCCCAGACUGCUACGGGAGGCAGCAGUGGGGAAUAUUGCACAAUGGGCGGAAGCCUGAUGCAGCAACGCCGCGUGCGGGAUAACGGCCUUCGGGUUGUAAACCGCUUUCGCCUGAGACGAAGCGUGAGUGACGGUAAUGGGUAAAGAAGCACCGGCUAACUACGUG